UGCGUUUCGUUUUGAAGGGUGGGGCAGC
rnacentral:sRNA from 1 species